rnacentral:rRNA from 1 species
GAUGAACGCUAGCUACAGGCUUAACACAUGCAAGUCGAGCGGUAACGAGAGGAAAGCUUGCUUUCCUUGUCGACGACCGGCGCACGGGUGAGUAACGCGUAUCCAACCUGCCCCCAACUAAGGAAUAACCUUGCGAAAGUAAGACUAAUACCUUAUAAUUUCCUCAGAUGUCAUCUGACGAGGAAUAAAGAUUUAUCGGUUGUGGAUGGGGAUGCGUCUGAUUAGCUUGUUGGUGGGGUGACCGCCCACCAAGGCAACGAUCAGUAGGGGUUCUGAGAGGAAGGUCCCCCACAUUGGAACUGAGACACGGUCCAAACUCCUACGGGAGUCAGCAGUGAGGAAUAUUGGUCAAUGGGCGAAAGCCUGGACCAGCCAAGUAGCGUGCAGAAUGACGGCCCUAUGGGUUGUAAACUGCUUUUAUACGGGAAUAAAGUUAGCCACGUGUGGUUAUUUGUAGGUACUGUAUGAAUAAGGACCGGCUAAUUCCGUGCCAGCCGCCGCGGUAA